rnacentral:piRNA from 1 species
GACUCCAAGAGCAGGUGAGAACGCCACAGCA